GAGAUUGCUUCCUGUCUAGCCUCAAGGCUCUGUCCUCUGAAAGCCACGCUUGGGAUCUUCAGGUAACAGAAUAUUGGCAUGUAGCACUCCUCAAAACAUAGAAAGCAGAAACAAAUCAAUUCUGCCUGGAGGACCUCCCCGAUCUCAACACCCAGUGGUUUUGACAGAAUUGAUAUAGAAAUAGAAGCUUCAAGCAACCUUACGAUGGAGGCAGAAGAAGGAUUCUAUGGUUGGAAACCUGCCAGACUCACAGGCUACGGAGAAGAAAGGCUAAAUCCACCAGACUGUUGGAUGCACCUAAAACAAAUUGCCCUCCGUGGCUUGGUUUCUUAUUAAUAUACUCAUAGAAAUGCACAAGAACUGAAAGCUCGAUAGGGAAACCAAAAAAUAAAAAUUAAAA
rnacentral:lncRNA from 1 species